GCGGCUUGUUGGAAUCACGCAGCUUCUCUUCGAUGGAGAGCAUUUGCUGCAGCAGGAGCUUCUGCUGCAUCGUAGGCUUCUUCAGAGAGUUCAGAUAUUCACUAAAGCAUUUCAAUUCCUAGAAGAAUGACUGGACCAGAAAGGGUUAAAAGUGAUGGAAAUGCAUCGAGGACAUUUCGACCAGUGUUGCCCACUUCUGAUGUAAAGGGACCUUCCACAGAAUGGGCCCAUAAAAAUUUGGCCGUCAAUGCUGGGAACCAAUCCUGCAGCUUCAAGCUCAGCAGCAGAAUACCAUUCAAUGAGCCACAGUGGUGUGUAUGUCCUAGUACUUUAUAGAAGCAAAAGCACAAAAGGCACUGACCAGAUGAAAAGUUAAGUACCAUUUCAGAAUGCUGCUUGUUCACCACAACAUUCACCAACAUGAACGCUACCCGACUAGACAUGCCAAACUCUUGACUACUAUUUCGUACAAGCGACAGCCCCAAUGAGAGUUCUCACCACAGGG
rnacentral:lncRNA from 1 species